AACAUUUGGUCUCAAAAUCAAAGAUAUGAAAAUCAUUUUCGUUCUUUUGCUCAUUUUCUCAAUUGACUUUGGUAUGAGUUUUGAUACUUGGAUUUAUUUUAUCUCAAAUUUCACGAGUUUUUGUUUCUUUAAUCACUUAUGUUUAUGGUAGAAUGAAUUUUUUAUUUUGUGCAGGAAAUCAAGUGCAAUUGCCGGAGGCAAAACAAUGUUAUUAUGUUGUACCUGGUUUUUGUAAGACAUUUAGGAAAUUUUUUUGCAAAGUAGAGUGCCUCGGUGUUUGCAAAUCAUUUUCUGCGCAUGGAGAAUGUCGUGACGACGGAGGUUGCCACUGUAUUUGUUGUUGAUUAAAUUAUUAUAUACAAUGGAACAUUCAUCGUGUGAAAUUAAUAAAUAUGAGAUAUAUUAAUAAAGUGUGGUUGCAUUGCAUAUUUCUCCUUUUCUCAAUUUUUUAGUAGUUGAAGAGUGUAUGUCUUUUUUGGUUAACGUUCCUUUGUAGGAUAAUAUGUGUGAUGUUUGGUCUUGGAAUAAUGCUCAUGGUAGUUCUUAUUCGGUCAAAGAAAGCUUAUAUGUUGUUGUGAAUUGAUGAUGGCGGUGAUAUCGCCAAAAAUUAUGAAAUUGCGUGGAAUAAAAUUGUCUCAGUGAAGCUCUCUUUGUUUGUUUGGCGCUUUUUGAAUAACAAGUUUCCAACAAAGGAGACACUUAAGCGUGAUAUUUUAAACGUUGAUUCUCAAUUUUGUG
rnacentral:lncRNA from 1 species